GACGAACGCUGGCGGCGUGCUUAACACAUGCAAGUCGAACGGUGAAGCGAGUGCUUGCACUCGUGGAUCAGUGGCGAACGGGUGAGUAACACGUGAGUAACCUGCCCAUCACUCUGGGAUAAGCACUGGAAACGGUGUCUAAUACUGGAUACGACCAACCCUUGCAUGGGGUGUUGGUGGAAAGAUUUAUCGGUGAUGGAUGGACUCGCGGCCUAUCAGCUUGUUGGCGGGGUAAUGCCCACCAAGGCGACGACGGGUAGCCGGCCUGAGAGGGUGACCGGCCGCACUGGGACUGAGACACGGCCCAGACUCCUACGGGAGGCAGCAGUGGGGAAUAUUGCACAAUGGGCGAAAGCCUGAUGCAGCGACGCCGCGUGAGGGAUGACGGCCUUCGGGUUGUAAACCUCUUUCAGCAGGGAAGAAGCGAAAGUGACGGUACCUGCAGAAGAAGCACCGGCUAACUACGUG
rnacentral:rRNA from 1 species